rnacentral:rRNA from 1 species
GACGAACGCUGGCGGCGUGCUUAACACAUGCAAGUCGAACGGAAAGGCCCCUUCGGGGGUACUCGAGUGGCGAACGGGUGAGUAACACGUGAGUAACCUGCCCUUGACUUCGGGAUAACUUCAGGAAACUGGGGCUAAUACCGGAUAGGAAUCCUUGCUGCAUGGUGGGGGUUGGAAAGCUUCGGCGGUUUUGGAUGGACUCGCGGCUUAUCAGCUUGUUGGUGGGGUAGUGGCUUACCAAGGCUUUGACGGGUAGCCGGCCUGAGAGGGCGACCGGCCACAUUGGGACUGAGAUACGGCCCAGACUCCUACGGGAGGCAGCAGUGGGGAAUAUUGCACAAUGGGCGGAAGCCUGAUGCAGCAACGCCGCGUGCGGGAUGACGGCCUUCGGGUUGUAAACCGAUUUCAGCAGGGGCGAAGCUUGUGGUGACGGUACCUGCAGAAGAAGCACCGGCUAACUACGUG